rnacentral:rRNA from 1 species
AUUGAACGCUGGCGGCAGGCCUAACACAUGCAAGUCGAACGAGUGGCGGACGGGUGAGUAAUGUCUGGGAAACUGCCUGCUGGAGGGGGAUAACUACUGGAAACGGUAGCUAAUACCGCAUACCCUCAGAUGUGCCCAGAUGGGAUUAGCUAGUUGGUGGGGUAACGGCUCACCAAGGCGACGAUCCCUAGCUGGUCUGAGAGGAUGACCAGCCACACUGGAACUGAGACACGGUCCAGACUCCUACGUGAGGCAGCAGGGGGGAAGAUUGCACAAUGGGCGCAAGCGUGAUGCAGCCAUGCCGCGUGGAUGAGGAAGGCAUGCGGGUUUUAAAGUACUUUCAGCGGGGAGGCGUUACCCGCAGAAGAAGCACCGGCUAACUCCGUGCCAGCAGCCGCGGUAAUUC